GCCCGGAUAGUUUAGCGGCAGAACGAGUCCUUGGUAAGGACUAAAGGGGAGUCCGACUCUCCCUCCGGGCU
rnacentral:tRNA from 1 species